UCGUACGUAGCAGAGCAGCUCCCUCGCUGC
rnacentral:piRNA from 5 species